rnacentral:rRNA from 1 species
UGGGGAAUUGUUCGCAAUGGGCGCAAGCCUGACGACGCAACGCCGCGUGGAGGAUGAAGACCUUCGGGUCGUAAACUCCUUUCGACCGAGAUGAAUUCCUGCCGGCCUAACAUGCCGGCGGGGUGACAGUAUCGAGGGAAGCAGCCCCGGCUAACUCCGUGCCAGCAGCCGCGGUAAUACGGGGGGGGCAAGCGUUGUUCGGAAUUACUGGGCGUAAAGGGUUUGUAGGUGGUCCGCUAAGUCAGACGUGAAAUCCCUCAGCUUAACUGGGGAACUGCGUCUGAGACUGAUGGACUCGAGGACAGGAGAGGAACGCGGAAUUCCAGGUGUAGCGGUGAAAUGCGUAGAUAUCUGGAGGAACACCGGUGGCGAAGGCGGCGUUCUGGACUGUUUCUGACACUGUAAAACGAAAGCCAGGGGAGCAAACGGGAUUAGAUACCCCCGUAGUCC